rnacentral:lncRNA from 10 species
UACAGGCACGCGGCACCAUGCCCAGCUAAUUUUUGUAUUUUUAGUAGAGAUGGGGUUUCACCGUGUUGGACAGGCUGGUCUCGAACUCCUGACCUCAAGUGAUCCACCUGUCUCGGCCUCCCAAAGUGCUGGGAUUACAGGCAUGAGCCAGCACCCCCGGCCUUAAUUUUUCUUUCUCCUCUUCUUCGAUUACUAUUAUUUUUUUUAAAAUAGAGACAGGUUUCCCUAUGUUGCCCAGGCUAAUCUCAAACUCCUGGUUUCAAGUGGUCCUCCUGCCUCAGCCUCCCAAAGUUGCUGGGAUUACAGGCUUGAGCCACCGCACCCGGCCACAAGUGCCCUUUUUAAAUAAGCUCCUAUUUUUUUGUUGUUGGUUUUGUUGUUUAAUUGUUGUAUAACCGGUUUUAUUCCAUCAAAUUGAGUUCUCUACAAAGGAUAUCAUUUUAUACCUGACCAUGGUUUAUCCUUUUGGUGAGUUAUUGGUUCUCUCUCUCCAAAUAGCAUCAUUAUUCCCUAAGGUCCAACGUCAUACAUGUGCCAAUUUGUUUCAGCCCGGAUGCUUUUCCAGUCCACUGUGAAACUCACUCUCUGCCAUACCCCUUUUCUUUCAGAAGGCAUACAAGUACCAACUAGGUGUCUCUUUCUCCAAGGAGCUCCACAAAAUAUUCCAUCCAGAGUGCAGAUGAUGUGACUACCUUGCACAACGGCAUGUGGCAGAAGUGAUGUCCAGGGUCUCCCGAGGCUGGGUCGGAGGCAUCCUUACAGCUCCCAUCUGGGUCUACCGGAAUCGUCUUGGAGGUUUGCGCCGCCAUGGAAGAAGGCUGACUACGCAGGCUGCCGUGUCGUGAGGAAGCCCGAGGCUUUGUGGAGAGAAAUGCAUGGAAACGGUUUCAGUCCCCAGCCGAGACCCUAGGCAUCAGGGAGCAGAACAUCAAAACUGCGGACUUGGGAUACAAAUGAAUGAUCACUGUUGUUGCAAAGCCCUUACGUUUUGAGGGUGGUCUUUUCGUGAAGCAAUAGAGAAACGGAACGGGGAGACGGACAGUGAGCAGACAAGCAAUAAUACGAAGCAGAAGGGGGAAAAACGUGGACCAAGGGAUAGAGAAGAGGGCAUGGAGAGAAAAGGCUGGGGUUGAGGGCUUAACAUAUUAGACAAGGGGGUCACGGAAAGCCUCCCUGCUUCUCUCUGUUUGCUCCAAACUCUUGCUUCUCUUUGCUUGCUCAGCAUCAGCGCAUAGCGCAUAGAACCCCCAAAGGCCACCCCACAAUGGCAGCCUCAGCCCCAGAAUUUACGUGUCCU